ACUAUCUCUCUGUAGGGGGUUAGGAUACUAUCUCUCUGUAGAGGGUUAGGAUACUAUCUCUCUGUAGAGGGUUAGGAUACUAUCUCUCUGUAGAGGGUUAGGAUACUCACUGAGGGAGAAGUGGACAGAGAGGUCCCCCGAUACCGUGCCAGAACACCAAACAUCAACAACCAUAAUGAUAAGGAUAAAGCCUAAAUUAAAGCCAGGGUUCAAGCUGGACACAUUGCCUUUGGAUGAGCUGUGAAGCAGAUUACGCUUUCUGUUUCUGAUAUUUUGACUUUGCAGAUGUUCUAUGUUAAUGUCAGCCAGUUUCAAAGUUUUUUUUUGCACGGUAAUGAUUGGCAUUGUAAAUAAUAAUGUCUUGUGGGUACUAAGUUAUUGGGCAUUCUGAAGAGGUAAUAUCAGCUGUUGGGAGUAUUUUUAAACCUGAAAUUCAGAGUAAAUGUGCAUGUUUCUGCUGUCUGUGGGAAGUCCUUCAACAUCAGCAGUUUGGAAGAUAAUGCAUCUGUAUGAACACAUUUGGUAUGUAGUGCUGUUAUUUGUUAAGUAGAGUUCUGUAAGGGGGUGAUGUGGGAUUUCACUGAAAGGUGUAACAUUUUUUACCUGCAUGAAAAAUAUCUGCUUUUAAUUUUUUUUAAAGUGAUGUUGCAAUUAAUGUUCAUUUUUUGAAAAUAUUAAUUUCUUUCUCUCUGCAUUGUUGGGAAGAGCCAUAAGCAUUUCUCUGUUAAGCAUGUGACAAAAUUAUAUUUUAUUUGAAGAGUGUUUGUCAUAGUAGCAAUUUUUUUUGACUUUUUGAAGAACCCCUUUCAUUCUCGGGGGUACACAGAAAAGGUACGGAUUAAAACCGAGGGCCGACCUCUGCCUGUCUGAGAUCAAUUUCAUGAAGAACGAUGAAAAGGUGAGGUCGUUCAAAACCAAC
ensembl:lncRNA